ensembl:lncRNA
AUGGCAUUAAGCAUUCCCAUGGGCAUGGGGCACUUCAACCUGUAUGGCUUGCUCUAAAUCCCAGCUAACAGUGGUUUGUAGUUUGGGUCAUAAUUUGGCUUAGAAACCUUGGUUAGCAUCUCUAAAUGAAAAUAAUUCCCCAUUUAUAUUGCUGUCACUAGGGCUGAGUACUGUGUUCAGAAGUAACACCCAAGGAGCCCAAAGGAUGAAUCCCACAGCUGUGCCCAGAGCCUUCCUCGGACUUAAGUGCACUUCUGGAUCAUUUGGUACCCAAGGGAAACCCUCCCUUAAAUGAGCAGAGCACCUCCAUUCCAUUUGUGCUGGACUUCCCUGGGAAGAGCAUGACACAUUCUGAUUUAUGGACAAAUUCUAAUGACAUACCCUGCUGAAAUCUAUAAUCUUUCAAAAGUGAUGAAAUGAGCAGAGCAGUCCAAAGCGACAAAAGGUAAGUUUAAUGUUCCUCUAUCUUGUUAUAUCUAACUUCUGGAAACAAUGCAGGAGGAUAUUGAAAGUGAAAAUAUGUGCAAUAGAGGGUUAAAUUCUUUAUUUAAAUUCUUUAUUACUAUUUGAUAUAUUUCACUGAGGAUUAUUCACCUUUUAAAAAGUGAAAAUGAACACAUAAGCUUGGGUUUCUGGGCUAGAAGUGUUUCUUAUAUUAUCUGAAAUUUGUACUAAGCUUGUUAUGAUCUCUAAGUGAAAAAAAAAAAUUAAAAACCCAAAGUUACUGCAUUUGAAUUUCUUGUUUCUUCCUGCUCUGUUCCAGUCAGUUCUGGUGGCAUUUGAAGU